rnacentral:rRNA from 1 species
CGGUUGCUAAGACUGGAUAGGAAAUAAAAAGGCAUCUUUUUAUUUUUAAAAGACCUUCUUCGGAGGGUAUGCUUAAAGAGGGGCUUGCGCCACAUUAGUUAGUUGGUGAGGUAAAGGCUCACCAAGAUUAUGAUGUGUAGCUGGACUGAGAGGUUGAACAGCCACAUUGGGACUGAGACACGGCCCAAACUCCUACGGGAGGCAGCAGUAGGGAAUUUUCGGCAAUGGAGGAAACUCUGACCGAGCGACGCCGCGUGAACGAUGAAGUAUUUCGGUAUGUAAAGUUCUUUUAUUGAAGAAGAAAAAAUAAUGGAAAAAUUAUCUUGACGUUAUUCAAUGAAUAAGCCCCGGCUAACUAUGUGCCAGCAGCCGCGGUAAGACAUAGGGGGCGAGCGUUAUCCGGAAUUAUUGGGCGUAAAGGGUGCGUAGGCGGUUAAAUAAGUCUAUAAUUUAAUUUCAGUGCUUAACGCUGUCUUGUUAUAGAAACUAUUUUGACUAGAGUGAGAUAGAGGCAAGCGGAAUUCCAUGUGUAGCGGUAAAAUGUGUAAAUAUAUGGAGGAACACCAGAAGCGUAGGCGGCUUGCUGGGUCUUUACUGACGCUGAGGCACGAAAGCGUGGGGAGCAAACAGGAUUAGAUACCCUGGUAGUCCACGCUGUAAACGAUGAGUACUAAGUGUCGGGGUAACUCGGUACUGAAGUUAACACAUUAAGUACUCCGCCUGAGUAGUACGUACGCAAGUAUGAAACUUAAAGGAAUUGACGGGACUCCGCACAAGCGGUGGAUCAUGUUGUUUAAUUCGAAGAUACACGAAAAACCUUACCAGGUCUUGACAUACUCUGCAAAGCUAUAGAAAUAUAGUGGAGGUUAUCAGGGAUACAGGUGGUGCAUGGUUGUCGUCAGUUCGUGUCGUGAGAUGUUAGGUUAAGUCCUAAAACGAACGCAACCCCUUUCGUUAGUUGCCAGCACGUAAUGGUGGGGACUUUAGCGAUACUGCCAAUUAAAAGUUGGAGGAAGGUGGGGAUAACGUCAAAUCAUCAUGCCCCUUAUGAUCUGGGCUACAAACGUGAUACAAUGGCCGUUACAAAGAGUAGCUGAAACGCGAGUUCUUAGCCAAUCUCAAAAAGACGGUCUCAGUCCGGAUUGAAGUCUGCAACUCGACUUCAUGAAGCUGGAAUCGCUAGUAAUCGCGAAUCAGCAUGUCGCGGUGAAUACGUUCUCGGGGUUUGUACACACCGCCCGUCA